rnacentral:rRNA from 1 species
UAAUACGGAGGGUGCGAGCGUUGUCCGGAAUCACUGGGCGUAAAGGGCGCGUAGGCGGCCCGCGCAAGCGUGCGGUGAAAGCCCGGGGCUCAACCCCGGGUCGGCCGUGCGGACUGCGGGGCUCGAGCACUGUAGGGGCAGAUGGAAUUCCGGGUGUAGCGGUGGAAUGCGUAGAGAUCCGGAAGAACACCGGUGGCGAAGGCGGUCUGCUGGGCAGUAGCUGACGCUGAGGCGCGACAGCGUGGGGAGCAAACAGGAUUAGAUACCCUGGUAGUCCACGCCGUAAACGAUGGGCACUAGGUGCUUGGGGGAGCGACCCUCCGAGUGCCGUCGCUAACGCAGUAAGUGCCCCGCCUGGGGAGUACGGCCGCAAGGCUG